rnacentral:rRNA from 1 species
GGGCUCACACAAGCGGUGGAUGAUGUGGCUUAAUUCGAGGCAACGCGAAGAACCUUAUCCUGGACUUGACAUGCUUGGAUGGCUCGCCCGAAAGGGAUGAGUCUGCCUUCGGGUGAAACUUGCACAGGUGCUGCAUGGCUGUCGUCAGCUCGUGUCGUGAGACGUCGCGUUAAGUCGCUUAACGAGCGCAACCCUUGUCCUUAGUUGCCAGCACGUAAUGGUGGGGACUCUAAGGAGACCGCCGGUGUCAAACCGGAGGAAGGCGGGGACGACGUCAAGUCAUCAUGGCCUUUAUGUUCAGGGCUGCACACGUCAUACAAUGGCAGGUACAGAGGGCAGCGAAGUCGCGAGGCUAAGCAAA